rnacentral:rRNA from 1 species
AUUGAACGCUGGCGGCAGGCCUAACACAUGCAAGUCGAACGGUAACAGGAAGAAGCUUGCUUCUUUGCUGACGAGUGGCGGACGGGUGAGUAAUGUCUGGGAAACUGCCUGAUGGAGGGGGAUAACUACUGGAAACGGUAGCUAAUACCGCAUAACGUCGCAAGACCAAAAAGGGGGACCUUCGGGCCUCUUGCCAUCGGAUGUGCCCAGAUGGGAUUAGCUAGUAGGUGGGGUAACGGCUCACCUAGGCGACGAUCCCUAGCUGGUCUGAGAGGAUGACCAGCCACACUGGAACUGAGACACGGUCCAGACUCCUACGGGAGGCAGCAGUGGGGAAUAUUGCACAAUGGGCGCAAGCCUGGUGCAGCCAUGCCGCGUGUAUGAAGAAGGCCUUCGGGUUGUAAAGUACUUUCAGCGGGGAGGAAGGGAGUAAAGUUAAUACCUUGGCUCAUUGACGUUACCCGCAGAGGAAGCACCGGCUAACUCCGUG